GGGACAAUACCCCCUAUGAUGACGGUACCGUUUGUAAGCUCCGGCUAACUCCGUGCCAGCAGCCGCGGUAAUACGGGGGGAGCAAGCGUUGUUCGGAUUUACUGGGCGUAAAGGGCGCGUAGGCGGCCAGCACAAGUCAGUUGUGAAAUCUCCGAGCUUAACUCGGAAAGGUCAACUGAUACUGUGCGGCUAGAGUGCGGAAGGGGCAACUGGAAUUCUUGGUGUAGCGGUGAAAUGCGUAGAUAUCAAGAGGAACACCUGCGGCGAAGGCGGGUUGCUGGGCCGACACUGACGCUGANGCGCGAAAGCCAGGGGAGCGAACGGGAUUAGAUACCCCGGUAGUCCUGGCCUUAAACGAUGAAUGCUUGGUGUCUGGGGUUAUAAAGUCCCCGGGUGCCGUCGCUAACGCUUUAAGCAUUCCGCCUGGGGAGUACGGUCGCAAGACUGAAACUCAAAGG
rnacentral:rRNA from 1 species